GGACCACCUGUUCUUUGAGUAUCCUCUCUCAAAGAGACUAUGGGAGCAAGUUAAGUCAUGAUGUUUAAUAAAAUCCCAGGCUUGGAUAGAAAGUGCAAGACAAUGCAACUCUUGAGAAAUUUCUUGCAAUAAUCAAUGUUAAGAUCCUUACUAGGUUAAAAGACAGGUUCAACCCUUAGAGACCAAAAUGCAAUAGCUCUAUCAAGGCAGGUUGAAUCAUGUAAUGCUCAGAAUG